UAUUCUGGAAACCGAAAUGCACGUUUGGGUUUUGGCGCUCUGUGGCCUUAUAUGCCAACUACUCAUAAUGGAAGCUCAAGGCUCUUUAUUUAGUAUUACUAAGAACUGCAUCGAAGGAGAAGUUUUGACCCUUCACAAGCACUGUCGCAAGUUAAGUGGCAUAAGAUGUUUGUUAUUCCCGGCUGUUCAUAAAUUGAUAAAAUUGUUGGCAACGGAAUUCAAAACACCCGUUGUGAUAAGUUAAUCUCCUCAAAUAUAAAUAAAUAAGAAACCAUUUCAUUAUCAGGAUCGUCAACCCCUCCUUACUUUUCGAUUUAUUGGGUGGUGCUAUUCAUCCCAAUGAAAACUUCAACAUCUUGUUCUUCGAGCCAGAUGCAAUCCCUACUAUAAGCAUAUAGAGUGGCCACGUAAGUUAAGCCCAAAUAUAAUUCUAAAUUGAAUUGUUAAUUGCCACGGGUACGGGGUGCGUGAGCUUGGUCCCGCCCACAAACAGCUAAAAACUGGCACGCCCAUAGUUUUAAAAUUGUUUUACUCUUUUUUCAUUUUAAUAUUUUUCUUUCCGAUUUCUAAGCAAAUUAUCAAAAUUUCUUUCUGGGACUGCCACUGCAUCUAGCUUUAUUACACCAAAGCAGUGGACUCUCUAACCAAACGCCAAAUUGCAUUCGCAAUUCAGGUCGAUUCCCUGAAACUGCGAUUCAAAACUGCCACCGCUUCAUUUGAAAACCAAACGCAAGUGCGCGGCUAUGAUGAAAAGAUGAAAAGUGCAUCCAAGAGGUGGAUGUGUGUUUGCAUACGAGUGGCAAAUUCAAUUUGGCCAACUCCCUGGAAAGCCGCAGGCCAACUCUCAAGCUCAAGGCCCACUCAAUGAGUUUCAACUAAUUGCCAGGUUGCUGCUGCUGCUGCUGCCACUGCUGCUGGGAUCUUUCUCGCCUGAAAGCAGCGCAACACAUUUCCACACAGCCCCAUCCCAGUAGCCGGACUUUUCCGAGGAAAACAAUGCAAUUUUUACUGUUUUAGCGAGAAUUCCAUUUCUCUACGGGCAUUUGAAAGGGGUGGCAUGGUGUUUCGGCGCCGGGGACGGCCAAUCCGCCGGACAGCCGGUUGAACAUAAUGAAGUCCAGUCCCCGGAUCUCUGUUCUCACUGCCACUCUCUGUUCUAGUCAGUUCGGUUCGUUUGGGUUCGGCAACAUGGCAACGUUGAAUGGAAACGGACGGAUUCGGCCCGGGUUUAUCGAAUUAGGAAGCACCCUUUUAGGUCGGUGGCUCCAAAGGCGCCUGAAAAGUGUUAGAUCAUUAAAUCUCAUAAA